AAAGAAGAUAGAGGAGGAGUUCGACAAAGAACUCAUAAUGUUGAUCAAUCUCAGCAGCAGCAGCAGUAGCUUGCUUCUCAGAUUUCACAAACCAAAAAAGGUGGUUUCUUGGAAAAUUAUAGGAAAGAGAUCGGCUUUACCUUAACAUUAUCAUUUUCCUAUCUUUUAUAUUAUAUUGCUUCCCCGACUUUAAAGGUCCAAUAAUAGGAGCCUUCGUCACUAUUGCAAUAGGUGCGUUGAGUGGAUUGGUUAAUCAUUGCUUGAAAUCUAAUGUUCCUGGUUCUGCUGGAGUGUGACUUGUUUGUUUAAAAAAACUAAUUAAGCUAAAAA
rnacentral:lncRNA from 1 species